AUCACCGACAUCCUCUCCCUUCUCUCAUUUCCCAGGAGCUCCUCAGCAAAUGUUCUGCAAGUCUUGUUGGAAACAUCAUGUAGAACACAAUCUUUGGUGGGUGAGAUGGAUGACAAAUACGUCUUCCUGGAUGGAGGACACAGAGCUGAGACACGAGCCUAAAAACAGACGUCUGACCACCCUGACUGUAAUAGAGGAUCGCCACACUAACACCUCCCAAUGGAGCGCCAGGUUGGCGGAAGGAGAGGAGGCA